rnacentral:rRNA from 1 species
GAUGAACGCUGGCGGCGUGCUUAACACAUGCAAGUCGAACGGAAAGGCCUCAGCUUGCUGGGGUACUCGAGUGGCGAACGGGUGAGUAACACGUGGGUGAUCUGCCUGCACUUUGGGAUAAGCUUGGGAAACUGGGUCUAAUACCGAAUAUGACCACUUCUUGGAUGCUGUGGUGGAAAGCUUUUGUGGUGUGGGAUGGGCCCGCGGCCUAUCAGCUUGUUGGUGGGGUGAUGGCCCACCAAGGCGACGACGGGUAGCCGGCCUGAGAGGGUGUCCGGCCACACUGGGACUGAGAUACGGCCCAGACUCCUACGGGAGGCAGCAGUGGGGAAUAUUGCACAAUGGGCGCAAGCCUGAUGCAGCGACGCCGCGUGGGGGAUGACGGCCUUCGGGUUGUAAACCUCUUUCAGCACAGACGAAGCGAGAGUGACGGUAUGUGCAGAAGAAGCACCGGCCAACUACGUGCCAGCAGCCGCCGUAA